CAGAGACCAGGUCACAUGCUUACUUUAAAUCCCGGAAGGUAAGACUAUAUUGCAUAUGUGGAAUGGUUAUGCAAAGGAACAAAAACUGUCGGUUUAGUCAUCUUUUUGACACAUUUACAGAACAGCCACCUCUGUGCCACAAUGCUACUGGGACGCAGAGGUGAAGAGGUGCCACCACCGUCAAGAGGCCUUGGAGAAAGACCAUGGCACAUUAAAGAAAUAAUCGGAGGCAGCACUGGAAAAAGGAGCAUCUGGAUGCAGUAAAGACCCAUCCCUUCCCGCACUGGAGCUGUUGGCUCAUCCCUGGAAAUCACAACAAUCAAGAAUGGAGAAUCGUUCUUUUCAUCCCUUCUCACAGCAUUAUCCCAGCAACCUCAUCCCCUAACAAUGGUGUGGUCUGUGUUAUGUUUUCCCUCCAUCACUGCCCCUCCCUGCUGCUGCACAACAGAGGUGCUGUGCCCCAGAGGCCGCUGAGGUUGCAGGCCUCUCAGCCUCUGAAACAAGGCUGUGAGCGUUUGGAUGCACCCUCAGAAGGAGCUGCAUAAAUAAUCAGAUGAAAAACACCAAACCUUAACUAAAAAUGAAUUUUUUUUCCUCCAUUUUUUCCUCCAUUAAACCAGCUAAAAGAUUUUCAUGACAAUUCCCUGUAGUGUGAUAAAACAGACACCCUUGCAUGUUGCUCUGAACUAUUUGUUAGUAUUAUGUGUUUGGAAAAUAAUCUGGCAGUAUUUCAAAUGCCUUAAAAAUGUUCAUCCCUUUGUGCCCAAUAAUUCUCAUUUCUGGCAUCUGACUUUAAGGUAAUAAUUCAAAGGAAAGAAAAAGAUGUAUGUAUGAAGAUAUAUAUUGCAGUACUAGUUGGGGAAAAAAGUGGUAGAGUUUCUGUUCUUUACAGUUUUCUCCCAUGUUUUCCUCUCUAACUUACCCUUAGGCUUGGUAACAUUCAUCUCUAUGGCUCUUGAUAGAACCAGACAUAAUGACAGAAACUGGAAUUUCUCACCCAUGUUCACAACCUAAACAAGAUCUGCUAUAAAAAUAAUUUACUAUAUGACUAAUCAUACUUAGCAGAGAGCCACAUUUAUUAUUCUACUGUAAACCAGGCACUGUGCCACGGGCUGAGGAUACAGCAGUAAACAAAACAGACAUGGUCCAUGAUCUCAGAGCUGAGUAUCUGGCAGAGAUAUAAAGAAACAGACUUUUUUUUUUUUUUGAGACCGAGUCUUGCUCUGUCACCCAGGGUGGAGUGCUGGAGUGCACCGGUGUGAUCUCGGCUCACUGCAACCUCUGCCUCCUGGGUUCAAGCAAUUCUCCUGCCUCAGCCUCCUGAGUAGCUGGGAUUACAGGUACACACCACCACACUGGCUAACUUUUGCAUUUUUGUGGAGAUGGGGUUUCGCCAUGUUGGCCAGGCUGGUCUGGAACUCCUGGCCUCGAUCUGCCCCUGCUUGGCCUCUCAAAGUGCGGGGAUUACAGGCAUGAGCCACUGCGCCCAGGUGAGAAGAAACAGAUAAUUUUGAAAAACAAUUUUAUUUUCUUUUUUUCUAGAGACAGGGGUCUCACUAUGUUUCCCAGGCAGGAUUUGAGCUCUUUGGCUCAAGCAAUCUUCUUGCCUCAGCCUCCCAGUAGGUGGGACUACAGGGAUGUACCAUCAUGCCCAGCUAAGAAACAGAUAGUGUAGCUGAGGUUCAGGGAAGUAAAACAUCAAGGUCUGAUGACAACCAAGUAUUUCCGAAGUCCAAAAGACCAUACAAGACCAGCUGUAGUCCAUCUCCCCUGAAGCCUGGCCAACAGAUCAAGGAGAACAUGGCUUGAGCUGCAAAAACAGACCAGAGAGAGAAACCCUGGGAAACUAGGCUCUAGCGGGUAGCUCAGGAGGGGAACCCACACUGCAGAGGAAAAGUAAAGAGGCCUGGGUGCCGGGAUUAACUCUAAUCAUCCGUGAGACUCUGGCAAGACAUGCUCUCCCUCAGAACCUCCAAAGACUGGAGUGAUCAGGUUUUUCAACUUUUAACAAAGGCCCAGCGUUUCUAACCAAAUAUAAUCUCCCUAAACCCUCAGUUUCUCAUGCACUUCCUCUUUGAGGAUUGCUCUGCUGCCUGUUUAUUCCUCAGAAACCAAGUUUCACUUUCUGAAAUCUGUUAUAAAGCCAGGCGACUUUUCAUUGUUACACUAUAAAUUAUGAUAC
rnacentral:lncRNA from 1 species